GGGCCCGCACAAGCAGUGGAGUAUGUGGUUUAAUUCGAAGCAACGCGAAGAACCUUACCAGGUCUUGACAUCGAGUGACGUACUCAGAGAUGAGUAUUCCCUUCGGGGCACAAAGACAGGUGGUGCAUGGUUGUCGUCAGCUCGUGUCGUGAGAUGUUGGGUUAAGUCCCGCAACGAGCGCAACCCUUAUCAUUAGUUGCUACGCAAGAGCACUCUAAUGAGACUGCCGUUGACAAAACGGAGGAAGGUGGGGAUGACGUCAAAUCAUCAUGCCCCUUAUGACCUGGGCUACACACGUACUACAAUGGCAUUCAACAGAGGGAAGCAAUACAGCGAUGUGGAGCAAAUCCUCAAAAAAUGUCCCAGUUCAGAUUGCAGGCUGCAACUCGCCUGCAUGAAGUCGGAAUUGCUAGUAAUCGCAGAUCAGCAUGCUGCGGUGAAUACGUUCCCGGGCCUU
rnacentral:rRNA from 1 species